GAUGAACGCUGGCGGCGUGCCUAAUACAUGCAAGUCGAACGCUGACGGCGGAGCUUGCUCUUCUGGAUGAGUUGCGAACGGGUGAGUAACGCGUAGGUAACCUGCCUCGUAGCGGGGGAUAACUAUUGGAAACGAUAGCUAAUACCGCAUGACAACAGUUAUUGCAUGAUAACUGUUUAUAAGGGGCACCUGCUCCACUACCAGAUGGACCUGCGUUGUAUUAGCUAGUUGGUGAGGUAACGGCUCACCAAGGCGAGGAUACAUAGACGACCAGAGAGGGGGAGCGGCAAAGCUGGGACGGGGAGACGGCCCAGAAUACUACGGGAGGGAGCAGGAGGGGAUCCUUGGGAAUGGACGGAAGGCUGAACGAGGAACGCCGGGUGAGUGAAGAAGGUUGUCGGGUCGUAAAGGUCUGUUGUAAGAGAAGAACGAGAGUGAGAGUGGAAAGUUCACACUGUGACGGUACCUGACCAGAAAGGGACGGCUAACUACGUG
rnacentral:rRNA from 1 species